rnacentral:rRNA from 1 species
GAUGAACGCUGGCGGCGUGCCUAAUACAUGCAAGUCGAGCGAACGGACGAGAAGCUUGCUUCUCUGAUGUUAGCGGCGGACGGGUGAGUAACACGUGGAUAACCUACCUAUAAGACUGGGAUAACUUCGGGAAACCGGAGCUAAUACCGGAUAAUAUUUUGAACCGCAUGGUUCAAAAGUAAAAGACGGUCUUGCUGUCACUUAUAGAUGGAUCCGCGCUGCAUUAGCUAGUUGGUAAGGUAACGGCUUACCAAGGCAACGAUGCAUAGCCGACCUGAGAGGGUGAUCGGCCACACUGGAACUGAGACACGGUCAAGACUCCUACGGGAGGCAGCAGUAGGGAAUCUUCCGCAAUGGGCGAAAGCCUGACGGAGCAACGCCGCGUGAGUGAUGAAGGUCUUCGGAUCGUAAAACUCUGUUAUUAGGGAAGAACAGAUGUGUAAGUAACUGUGCACAGCUUGACGGUACCUAAUCAGAAAGCCACGGCUAACUACGUG